GCAAACUUGGUCAUUUAGAGGAAGUAAAAGUCGUAACAAGGUUUCCGUAGGUGAACCUGCGGAAGGAUCAUUAUCGAGUUAGGGUCCUCUCAGGCCCGACCUCCCAACCCUUUGUCUACCUUACCACUGUUGCUUCGGCGGGCCCGCCCUUUGGGGCCGCCGGGGGACCGUCUCUGGUCCUCUGGCCCGCGCCCGCCGACAGCCCCAACCACAAACUCUUGAACAAAACGUGUCAUUAUCUGAGUUUUCUAUAAAAUAAAGCAAAAACUUUCAACAACGGAUCUCUUGGUUCUGGCAUCGAUGAAGAACGCAGC
rnacentral:misc_RNA from 1 species